CAUGCAGUCGAGGGGUAUAUAUUAGCUUGCUAAUAUAGAGACCGGCGCACGGGUGCGUAACGCGUAUGCAACCUACCUAUUACAGGGGAAUAGCCCGGAGAAAUCCGGAUUAAUGCCCCAUGGUAUUGAGAACUCACCUGAGUUUUUAAUUAAAGAUUUAUCGGUAAUAGAUGGGCAUGCGUCCUAUUAGCUAGAUGGAGUGGUAACGGCACCCCAUGGCAACGAUAGGUAGGGGCCCUGAGAGGGGGAUCCCCCACACUGGUACUGAGACACGGACCAGACUCCUACGGGAGGCAGCAGUGAGGAAUAUUGGACAAUGGUGGGAACACUGAUCCAGCCAUGCCGCGUGUAGGAAGACAGCCCUAUGGGUUUUAAACUACUUUUAUACAGGAAGAAUAAGGAGUACGUGUACUCUGAUGACGGUACUGUAAGAAUAAGGACCGGCUAACUCCGUGCCAGCAGCCGCGGUAAUACGGAGGGUCCGAGCGUUAUCCGGAAUCAUUGGGUUUAAAGGGUCCGUAGGCGGGCUAAUAAGUCAGAGGUGAAAGUUUGCAGCUCAACUGUAAAAUUGCCUUUGAUACUGUUAGUCUUGAAUUAUUAUGAAGUGGUUAGAAUGUGUAGUGUAGCGGUGAAAUGCAUAGAUAUUACACAGAAUACCGAUUGCGAAGGCAGAUCACUAAUAGUAAAUUGACGCUGAUGGACGAAAGCGUGGGUAGCGAACAGGAUUAGAUACCCUGGUAGUCCACGCCGUAAACGAUGGUCACUAGCUGUUCGAACUUCGGUUUGAGUGGUUAAGCGAAAGUGAUAAGUGACCCACCUGGGGAGUACGUUCGCAAGAAUGAAACUCAAAGGAAUUGACGGGGCCCGCA
rnacentral:rRNA from 1 species